UACGUAGGGUGCAAGCAUUAAUCGGAAUUAUUGGGCGUAAAGGGCGCGUAGGCGGACAUGUAAGUCAGAUGUGAAAUUCCGGGGCUCAACCUCGGAACUGCAUUUGAAACUACAUAUCUUGAGGGUUGACGGAGAAAACGGAAUUCCACGUGUAGCGGUGAAAUGCGUAGAUAUGUGGAAGAACACCAGUGGCGAAAGCGGUUUUCUAGUUAAUACCUGACGCUGAGGCGCGAGAGCAAGGGGAGCAAACAGG
rnacentral:rRNA from 1 species